CAACUUUUAACAAUGGAUCUCUUGGUUCUCGCAUCGAUGAAGAACGUAGCAAAGUGCGAUAACUAGUGUGAAUUGCAUAUUCGUGAAUCAUCGAGUCUUUGAACGCAGCUUGCACUCUAUGGAUCUUCUAUAGAGUACGCUUGCUUCAGUAUCAUAAC
rnacentral:rRNA from 5 species